ACGCAGCGAUGGCCGCCCUAACAGACAGAAAGAUGGCGAAAAUAGCCAAACUUCAGAGAGAGGAGGGUGUGCAGAGGCUGAGCCGUCACUUCUCAUGGCCAGAAUUCUCCGGGGACGAGUUGCGACACAGUGCCCAUCAGCAGUUUGUGUAUGAUUGUGCCAUGUUUGCCUCGGCCCGAGGUUUGGCCUGGGGUGCUGUGAGAUCAGUGGCCGGAAUGACCAGGGAUCUGUUCCCACAACUGGCUGAUCUGGACCUGCCCAGAGUGCUGUCCCUGAUCUCGGAUUGGCUGACAGAGUGCUUGCCCUGCCUCCCUCCUGCCCAACGUAAUGCGGUCUUCCACUUCCUGUCUGACACAUGUGUCACUAGGCAACGUCUGCUACAAACUGUGACCAGCGGUACCUGCCACCUGACAAUCAGCCAGGAACACCUGGAGGUGCAGGUACCCCCUACACCGCUUCCUCUGGUGCAGGGCUUUGAUGAGUGUGUGUGGGAGCGCCAGUGUGUGUGUGCCCGGCUCCAGAUUGCUGAGCAACAGAAGAGGGAGGAGCUCCGCAGGCUCAGAGAGGAGGAGGGGCCACAAUUGGGGUCAGAGUUCACACUAGACACAACAAAGGACCAUAGAUUGGACAGACAGGAGGUGGCAGCCCUUGUCCGUUCAACUGUGAGGGCCAGAGGAGACCUGCUCAUGGGCAUACUGCUGAAGGAGAGCAGGCUGGUAUAUGAGCUGCUGGAGCUCAGCCUGCAACAAACAGCCCUGACCACAGGGGGGAGCUCUACAAAAACACAUCUCACACACACACCCCCUGACAUCACACAAACCAGUGACUUCAACGGGGCCACAAAAACAGCCAGAACCUAGAGGAGAGUUACUUUUGGUUAUUUAUUUAACCGUGGUUUCCUGGAAGGAGCAAGGAAGAACAUAUGGAGCUGAUCCCUUUUGAGUCAUAACUCAAAAUGGCCAGGAAGAGCAUUGAGCGUGGCGGCACAUGGCAGCUUACCCAAAGGAAAUGUGGGACACACCAGUUGUCCCUUAGGGCAGAAUUAGCAGACUACCUUUUUGCCCAGUGGCCUCUCCUGCCCCUGAACAACAGCAAACGUUUUUGUCCGGGAGCUGUGACUGAAAUGCAAUAAAACCUCAAUCGUGUGACUUGAUGCCCAGCUCGCCACGGCACAGAUGUCUGCCACAGUCAAGCCUUUGAGAGGUGCCCAAGAUGUCGGCCACAGUCAACCCUUUCAGUGGUGCCCAAGAUGCUGCCACACAGUACUGGGACCAAGGCACACCAUGUUCAAAAACCAUUGCCCUUUGCAAGCAUAUGCCAGGGAGAUAAGUAUGGGAUAAAUACCAACAUUCUGUACAUUACCUUGGAAAUAAUGUAUGAUGCAACCCAGUCGUUAAUUCAAUCAAUAGGCGUGUUAAAUAUUGAUCUAAUUGAAUUUAACUACUGGGUCGGACGUCUGUAGCAACCCCAACGUGAGAAACCAUAAAUGUACAAAUGAAACACUAUGCUGUUUAUUACUUUCCAAAUGUAGUGGUUUAGGGGCUUUUGUGUCCCGUACAUCUGUCCUGAAGACAACCAACCAUCUUGUACGUCAAGAAUUCAUGCACAUUUUAGAACUCAAUUAUGGCCAAUCAGAAAACAUGUACUAAACAAAACAAUGUGGUCUAAUGAAGUAAUACGGCAUGAGGGGGUGUGGUAUAUGGCUUGACACAUUUCUAGAAUCUGGUCACAGUGCUUAGAUAUGAAAUAGUGGCCACAUACAACGAACCCCUAAGAUGCCUUAUAGCUAUUAUAAAGCAGUUGGUGCAGUUUAAGUGUUGUGAUGUCAUACCUUUCACGUCCUGGCAUGGCAGCCCUCAUUCGGGCCACGGACACCUGUUCCUGAGCACACUUGUACUUUUUGCCCUCACCUGGGUUCCUGGUCAAUCAAUCAAUCAAUCAAUCAAUCAUGAUGAUUGAUUGAUUGGGUUCCUGGUCA